AGUGAACGCUGGCGGUAGGCCUAACACAUGCAAGUCGAACGGCAGCACAGUAAGAGCUUGCUCUUACGGGUGGCGAGUGGCGGACGGGUGAGGAAUACAUCGGAAUCUACUUUUUCGUGGGGGAUAACGUAGGGAAACUUACGCUAAUACCGCAUACGACCUACGGGUGAAAGCAGGGGAUCUUCGGACCUUGCGCGAUUGAAUGAGCCGAUGUCGGAUUAGCUAGUUGGCGGGGUAAAGGCCCACCAAGGCGACGAUCCGUAGCUGGUCUGAGAGGAUGGUCAGCCACACUGGAACUGAGACACGGUCCAGACUCCUACGGGAGGCAGCAGUGGGGAAUGUUGGACAAUGGGCGCAAGCCUGAUCCAGCCAUACCGCGUGGGUGAAGAAGGCCUUCGGGUUGUAAAGCCCUUUUGUUGGGAAAGAAAAGCAGCAGGUUAAUACCCCGCUGUUCUGACGGUACCCAAAGAAUAAGCACCGGCUAACUUCGUG
rnacentral:rRNA from 1 species